rnacentral:rRNA from 1 species
GAUGAACGCUGGCGGCGUGCCUAAUACAUGCAAGUCGAGCGAACAGACGAGGAGCUUGCUCCUCUGACGUUAGCGGCGGACGGGUGAGUAACACGUGGAUAACCUACCUAUAAGACUGGGAUAACUUCGGGAAACCGGAGCUAAUACCGGAUAAUAUAUUGAACCGCAUGGUUCAAUAGUGAAAGACGGUUUUGCUGUCACUUAUAGAUGGAUCCGCGCCGCAUUAGCUAGUUGGUAAGGUAACGGCUUACCAAGGCAACGAUGCGUAGCCGACCUGAGAGGGUGAUCGGCCACACUGGAACGGAGAGACGGUCCAGACUACUACGGGAGGCAGCAGUAGGGAAUCUUCCGCAAUGGGCGAAAGCCUGACGGAGCAACGCCGCGUGAGUGAUGAAGGUCUUCGGAUCGUAAAACGCUGUUAUUAGGGAAGAACAAAUGUGUAAGUAACUAUGCACGUCUUGACGGUACCUAAUCAGAAAGCCACGGCUAACUACGUG